rnacentral:pre_miRNA from 1 species
CAUAGAAUGUCUAUUUGUUGUGUUUUUGGUUUUGUCAUGAUUGGAUAUCUCGUCCUUUGAUGUCCGGUGUGACAAAGUGGGUUCCUUGUUGGAAGGACUCAGCCACUCUUCCAACGUGGAUUCAAAAUUCGGAUGGCAGACAGCAGCCCACCCUUCCAGUAAGGCACCCCCCUUGUCACCGAACAAACAUCAAGGCACGAGAUAUCCGAUCAUGACAAAACGAAAAAGACGACAAAUGCACAUUCUCUG